rnacentral:rRNA from 1 species
UCCAGACUCCUACGGGAGGCAGCAGUGGGGAAUAUUGCACAAUGGGGGAAACCCUGAUGCAGCGACGCCGCGUGAGCGAAGAAGUAUUUCGGUAUGUAAAGCUCUCUCAGCAGGGAAGAAAAAAAUGACGGUACCUGAGUAAGAAGCACCGGCUAAAUACGUGCCAGCAGCCGCGGUAAUACGUAUGGUGCAAGCGUUAUCCGGAUUUACUGGGUGUAAAGGGAGCGUAGGCGGCGCGUUAAGUCUGAUGUGAAAACCCGAGGCUCAACCACGGGAGUGCAUUGGAAACUGGCGGGCUGGAGUGCCGGAGAGGUAAGCGGAAUUCCUAGUGUAGCGGUGAAAUGCGUAGAUAUUAGGAGGAACACCAGUGGCGAAGGCGGCUUACUGGACGGCAACUGACGCUGAAGCUCGAAAGCGUGGGGAGCAAACAGGAUUAGAUACCCUAGUA